GAUGAACGCUAGCGGCAGGCUUAACACAUGCAAGUCGAGGGGUAGAGUUAGCUUGCUAACUUGAGACCGGCGCACGGGUGCGUAACGCGUAUGCAAUCUACCUUGUACAGAGGGAUAGCCCAGAGAAAUUUGGAUUAAUACCUCAUAGUAUUAUUGAAUGGCAUCAUUUGAUUAUUAAAGUUCCAACGGUACAAGAUGAGCAUGCGUCCCAUUAGAUAGAUGGUAAGGUAACGGCUUACCAUGGCAACGAUGGGUAGGGGUCCUGAGAGGGAGAUCCCCCACACUGGUACUGAGACACGGACCAGACUCCUACGGGAGGCAGCAGUGAGGAAUAUUGGUCAAUGGGCGCAAGCCUGAACCAGCCAUGCCGCGUGCAGGAAGACGGUCCUAUGGAUUGUAAACUGCCUUUAUACGGGAAGAAACCCUGCUACGUGUAGCAGCUUGACGGUACCGUAAGAAUAAGCAUCGGCUAACUCCGUGCCAGCCGCCGCGGUAA
rnacentral:rRNA from 1 species